AGCUCCAAUAGCGUAUAUUAAAGUUGUUGCAGUUAAAAAGCUCGUAGUUGGAUUUCUGGUGAAAGCGUUUGGACGGCCCAAUGGGUUUUGUUCCGAUACGUCUUUUGCCAUUCUUGAAGGGAACUUGUCUGGCAUUAAGUUGUCGGGUUUGGGAUCUUCAUCGUUUACUGUGAAAAAAUUAGAGUGUUCAAAGCAGGCUUAUGCCGUUGAAUACAUUAGCAUGGAAUAAUAAGAUAGGACCUAAGUACUAUUUUGUUGGUUUGCGUACCUAGGUAAUGAUUAAUAGGGACAGUUGGGGGUAUUCGUAUUCAAUUGUCAGAGGUGAAAUUCUUGGAUUUAUGGAAGACGAACUACUGCGAAAGCAUUUACCAAGGAUGUUUUCAUUA
rnacentral:rRNA from 1 species